AAUGAACGUUGGCGGCGUGGAUUAGGCAUGCAAGUCGAGCGAGAAUCGUAGCAAUACGAGGACAGCGGCGAAAGGGAGAGGAAUACGUAGAAAUCUACCCCUGAGACCGGGAUAGCGUCGGGAAACUGGCAGUAAUACCGGAUAAUGUCUUAGGACCAAAGGUGUGAUUCCACUUGGGGAUGAGUCUACGCCCUAUUAGCUAGUUGGUGGGGUAAUGGCCUACCAAGGCGAUGAUGGGUAGCGGGUGUGAGAGCAUGACCCGCCUCACUGGGACUGAGAACUGCCCAGACACCUACGGGUGGCUGCAGUCGAGAAUCUUUGUCAAUGGACGAAAGUCUGAACAAGCGACGCCGCGUGCGGGAUGAAGGCCUUCGGGUUGUAAACCGCUGUCGUAGGGGAACAAAUGUACGGGGGUACUCCCCUGUAUUUGAGUGAUCCUAGGAGGAAGGAGAGGCUAAGCUCGUGCCAGCCGCCGCGGUAA
rnacentral:rRNA from 1 species